rnacentral:rRNA from 1 species
GACGAACGCUGGCGGCGUGCCUAACACAUGCAAGUCGAGCGGGGGGAGUACUUCGGUACAAACCUAGCGGCGGACGGGUGAGUAACACGUGGGUAACCUGCCUCAAAGUGGGGGAUAGCCUUCCGAAAGGAAGAUUAAUACCGCAUAACCCAUAGCUUCCGCAUGGAAGCACUGGUAAAGAUUUAUCGCUUUGGGAUGGACCCGCGGCGCAUUAGCUAGUUGGUGAGGUAACGGCUCACCAAGGCCACGAUGCGUAGCCGACCUGAGAGGGUGAUCGGCCACAUUGGAACUGAGACACGGUCCAGACUCCUACGGGGGGCAGCAGUGGGGAAUAUUGCACAAUGGGCGAAAGCCUGAUGCAGCAACGCCGCGUGAGUGAUGAAGGCCUUCGGGUUGUAAAGCUCUGUCUUUUGGGACGAUAAUGACGGUACCAAAGGAGGAAGCCACGGCUAACUACGUGCCAGCCGCCGCAGUAAAAC